GCUUACGAUCAUACCACGCUGAGAGUACGCGAACUCGUCAGAUCACGCUGAAUAUACGCGAACUCGUCAGAUCUCGCAAGUCAAGCGUACGCGAACUCGUCAGAUCUCGCAAGUCAAGCAGCGUCGGGCCUGGUCAGUACUUGGAUCGGAGACGGCUUGGGAAUCCCAGGUGUCGUAAGCU
rnacentral:rRNA from 1 species